GCAAUGGUAGCUCAGUGGUAGAAUUCUCACCUUCCAUGUAUGAGACCCUGGUUAGAUUCCCAGCCAAUGCA
rnacentral:tRNA from 1 species